rnacentral:rRNA from 1 species
ACACGACCGUACCGCAAACCGACACUGGUGCGCGAGAUGAGUAUUCUAAGGCGCUUGAGAGAACUCAGGAGAAGGAACUCGGCAAAUUGACACCGUAACUUCGGAAGAAGGUGUGCCUUUAGUAGGUGAACCUGUACAAGGGGAGCCCAAUGAGGUUGCAAAAAAUCGGUGGCUGCGACUGUUUAAUAAAAACACAGCACUCUGCAAACACGAAAGUGGACGUAUAGGGUGUGACGCCUGCCCGGUGCUGGAAGAUUAAAUGAUGGGGUGCAAGCUCUUGAUUGAAGUCCCAGUAAACGGCGGCCGUAACAAUAACGGUCCUAAGGUAGCGAAAUUCCUUGUCGGGUAAGUUCCGACCUGCACGAAUGGCGUAACGAUGGCCACACUGUCUCCUCCUGAGACUCAGCGAAGUUGAAAUGUUUUGAUGAUGCAAUCUCCCCGCGGAAAGACGGAAAGACCCCAUGAACCUUUACUGUAGCUUUGUAUUGGACUUUGAACAGAUCUGUGUAGGAUAGGUGGGAGGCUUUGAAGUGUGGUCGCUAGAUCGCAUGGAGCCAACGUUGAAAUACCACCCUGGUGUGUUUGAGGUUCUAACCUAGGCCCGUAAUCCGGGUCGGGGACAGUGCAUGGUAGGCAGUUUGACUGGGGCGGUCUCCUCCCAAAGCGUAACGGAGGAGUUCGAAGGUACGCUAGGUACGGUCGGACAUCGUGCUAAUAGUGCAAUGGCAUAAGCGUGCUUAACUGCGAGACUGACAAGUCGAGCAGAUGCGAAAGCAGGACAUAGUGAUCCGGUGGUUCUGUAUGGAAGGGCCAUCGCUCAACGGAUAAAAGGUACUCUGGGGAUAACAGGCUGAUACCGCCCAAGAGUUCAUAUCGACGGCGGUGUUUGGCACCUCGAUGUCGGCUCAUCUCAUCCUGGGGCUGUAGCCGGUCCCAAGGGUAUGGCUGUUCGCCAUUUAAAGAGGUACGUGAGCUGGGUUUAAAACGUCGUGAGACAGUUUGGUCCCUAUCUUCCGUGGGCGCUGCAGAUUUGAGGAAGCCUGCUCCUAGUACGAGAGGACCGGAGUGGACACACCUCUGGUGUAUCGGUUGUCACGCCAGUGGCAUUGCCGAGUAGCUAUGUGUGGAAGAGAUAACCGCUGAAAGCAUCUAAGCGGGAAACUCGUUUCAAGAUGAGAUCUGCCGGGGCCUUGAGCCCCCUAAAGAGUCGUUCAAGACCAGGACGUUGAUAGGUCGGGUGUGGAAGCGCAGUAAUGCGUUAAGCUAACCGAUACUAAUUGCUCGUGCGGCUUGAUC